GUAUUUUGACGUGCAAAGGUAGCGCAAUCACUUGUCUUUUAAAUGAAGACCUGUAUGAAUGGUGGAACGAGGGCUUAACUGUCUCCCCCUUCUAGUCAAUGAAAUUGAUCUACCCGUGCAGAAGCGGGUAUAAUAAUACAAGACGAGAAGACCCUUUGGAGCUUAAGAUAAAAGACCAACUAUGUCAAAAGUCCUAAAAAAGACUAAACCAAAUAGUAUUGGGCCUAAUCUUCGGUUGGGGUGACCACGGGAGAAAACAAAGCUCCCAUGCGGAUUGGGGUAAUUCCCUAAAACUAAGAGAGACAUCUCUAAGACGCAGAACAUCUGACCAUAAAGAUCCGGCUACAUGCCGACCAACGGACCAAGUUACCCUAGGGAUAACAGCGCAAUCCCCUUCCAGAGUCCAUAUCGACAAGGGGGUUUACACCUCGAUGUUGGAUCAGGACAUCCU
rnacentral:rRNA from 1 species